AGUGAACGCUGGCGGUAGGCCUAACACAUGCCAGUCGAACGGCAGCACAGUAAGAGCUUGCUCUUACGGGUGGCGAGUGGCGGACGGGUGAGGAAUACAUCGGAAUCUACUUUUUCGUGGGGGAUAACGUAGGGAAACUUACGCUAAUACCGCAUACGACCUACGGGUGAAAGCAGGGGAUCUUCGGACCUUGCGCGAUUGAAUGAGCCGAUGUCGGAUUAGCUAGUUGGCGGGGUAAGGGCCCACCAAGGCGACGAUCCGUAGCUGGUCUGAGAGGAUGAUCAGCAACACUGGAACUGAGACACGGUCCAGACUCCUACGGGAGGCAGCAGUGGGGAAUAUUGGACAAUGGGCGCAAGCCUGAUCCAGCCAUACCGCGUGGGUGAAGAAGGCCUUCGGGUUGUAAAGCCCUUUUGUUGGGAAAGAAAAGCAGCAGGUUAAUACCCCGCUGUUCUGACGGUACCCAAAGAAUAAGCACCGGCUAACUUCGUG
rnacentral:rRNA from 1 species